rnacentral:rRNA from 1 species
GACGAACGCUGGCGGCGUGCUUAACACAUGCAAGUCGAGCGGUAAGGCCCUUCGGGGUACACGAGCGGCGAACGGGUGAGUAACACGUGAGCAAUCUGCCCUGCACAUCGGGAUAACCCCCGGAAACGGGAGCUAAUACCGGAUACGACCUCCGGUGGCAUCACAGGAGGUGGAAAGUUCCGGCGGUGCUGGAUGAGCUCGCGGCCUAUCAGCUUGUUGGUGGGGUAACGGCCCACCAAGGCUUCGACGGGUAGCCGGCCUGAGAGGGUGACCGGCCACACUGGGACUGAGACACGGCCCAGACUCCUACGGGAGGCAGCAGUGGGGAAUAUUGGACAAUGGGCGAAAGCCUGAUCCAGCAACGCCGCGUGAGGGAUGACGGCCUUCGGGUUGUAAACCUCUUUCAGCAGGGACGAAGCGCAAGUGACGGUACUGCAGAAGAAGCACCGGCCAACUACGUGCCAGCCGCCGCGGUAAAAC